AUUGAACGCUGGCGGCAGGCUUAACACAUGUAAGUCGAACGAGUGGCGGACGGGUGAGUAAUGUCUGGGAAACUGCCUGAUGGAGGGGGAUAACUACUGGAAACGGUAGCUAAUACCGCAUACCAUCGGAUGUGCCCAGAUGGGAUUAGCUAGUAGGUGGGGUAACGGCUCACCUAGGCGACGAUCCCUAGCUGGUCUGCGAGGAUGACCAGCCAGACUGGGACUGAGACACGGCCCAGACUCCUACGGGAGGCAGCAGGGGGGAAUAUUGCACAAUGGGGGCAAGCCUGAUGCAGCCAUGCCGCGUGUAUGAAGAAGGCCUUCGGGUUGUAAAGUACUUUCAGCGGGGAGGCGUUACCUGCAGAAGAAGCACCGGCUAACUCCGUGCCAGCCGCCGCGGUAAUUC
rnacentral:rRNA from 1 species